UGCAGUCGAGCGCCCCGCAGGGGAGCGGCAGACGGGUGAGUAACGCGUGGGAAUCUACCCUUUUCUACGGAAUAACUCAUGGAAACUUGUGCUAAUACCGUAUGUGCCCUUCGGGGGAAAGAUUUAUCGGGAAAGGAUGAGCCCGCGUUGGAUUAGCUAGUUGGUGAGGUAAAGGCCUACCAAGGCGACGAUCCAUAGCUGGUCUGACAGGAUGAUCAGCCACAUUGGGACUGAGACACGGCCCAUACUCCUACGGGAGGCAGCAGUGGGGAAUAUUGGACAAUGGGCGCAAGCCUGAUCCAGCCAUGCCGCGUGAGUGAUGAAGGCCCUAGGGUUGUAAAGCUCUUUCACCGGUGAAGAUAAUGACGGUAACCGGAUAAGAAGCCCCGGCUAACUUCGUGCCAGCAGCGUCGGUAAUGUACUGUAUGAAUAAGCACCAGCUAACUCCGUGCCAGCAGCC
rnacentral:rRNA from 1 species